rnacentral:rRNA from 1 species
UACGUAGGGGGCAAGCGUUGUCCGGAUUCAUUGGGCGUAAGAGCGUGUAGGCGGCCAGGUAGGUCGGUUGUGAAAACUGGAGGCUCAACCUUCAGAGGUCGACCGAAACCAUCUGGCUAGAGUCCGGGAGAGGAGAGUGGAAUUCCUGGUGUAGCGGUGAAAUGCGCAGAUAUCAGGAAGAACACCCGUGGCGAAAGCGGCUCUCUGGAACGGUACUGACGCUGAGACGCGAAAGCGGUGGGGAGCGAACAGG